GAGUCAGGAUGAACCUCCACAUGAAGCUUCCUAUUGAGGUCGUGUACUGUUGCACGGUACCCUGUGACCUUGUCAAAAGCAAUCACCGUGACAUUCACCUGAAUGCUGCUCACCUUUGCCGCAGGGGAGCAGCGAGGAGAAAAAGUGGAAAUCCAGAUGAAUGGGGAAAACUCACAUUAAUAAAACUAAAUUUGGGGGGCUAAAGUGCAAAUAAUCACUGGAUGUGAAUGUGCCCGCUGAAGCACUCUUUCGGGUGCUCGCCGGAUGCUCCCGCUAAUGGUCUGUCUCCCUGAAGUAGCA
ensembl:lncRNA